UGGGGAAUAUUGCACAAUGGAGGGAACUCUGAUGCAGCGACGCCGCGUGAACGAAGAAGGCUUUCGAGUCGUAAAGUUCUUUUAUAUGGGAAGAUAAUGACGGUACCAUAAGAAAAAGCCCCGGCUAACUACGUGCCAGCAGCCGCGGUAAUACGUAGGGGGCUAGCGUUGUUCGGAAUCACUGGGCGUAAAGGGUUCGCAGGCGGAAAUGCAAGUCAGGUGUAAAAGGCAGUAGCUUAACUACUGUAAGCAUUUGAAACUGCAUAUCUUGAGAAGAGUAGAGGUAAGUGUAAUUUUUGGUGUAGCAGUGAAAUGCGUAGAUAUUAAAAAGAAUACCGGUGGCGAAGGCGACUUACUGGGCUCAUUCUGACGCUGAGGAACGAAAGCGUGGGUAGCAAACAGG
rnacentral:rRNA from 1 species